UACGUAGGGCGCAAGCGUUAUCCGGAAUUAUUGGGCGUAAAGAGCUCGUAGGCGGUUUGUCGCGUCUGCCGUGAAAGUCCGGGGCUCAACUCCGGAUCUGCGGUGGGUACGGGCAGACUAGAGUGCAGUAGGGGAGACUGGAAUUCCUGGUGUAGCGGUGAAAUGCGCAGAUAUCAGGAGGAACACCGAUGGCGAAGGCAGGUCUCUGGGCAGUAACUGACGCUGAGGAGCGAAAGCGUGGGGAGCGAACAGG
rnacentral:rRNA from 1 species